rnacentral:rRNA from 1 species
GCAGUCGGACGAUGAAGCCCUUCGGGGUGGAUUAGUGGCGAACGGGUGAGUAACACGUGAGCAACCUGCCCUUGACUCUGGGAUAAGCCUGGGAAACUGGGUCUAAUACCGGAUACAACCUCCUGCCGCAUGGUGGGGGGUGGAAAGCCUUGUGCGGUCUUGGAUGGGCUCGCGGCCUAUCAGCUUGUUGGUGGGGUGAUGGCCUACCAAGGCGACGACGRGUAGCCGGCCUGAGAGGAGUGACMGGCCACACURGGACUGAGACACGGCCCAGACUCCUACGGGAGGCAGCAGUGGGGAAUAUUGCACAAUGRGCGGAAGCCUGAUGCAGCGACGCCGCGUGGGGGAUGACGGCCUUCGGGUUGUAAACCCCUUUCGGCAGGGAACAAGCCCCUUGGGGUGAGGGUACCUGCGGAAGAAGCGCCGGCUAACUACGUGCCAGCAGCCGCGGUAAUACGUAGGGCGCGAGCGUUAUCCGGAAUUAUUGGGCGUAAAGAGCUCGUAGGCGGUUUGUCGCGUCUGCUGUGAAAGCCCGGGGCUCAACCCCGGGUCUGCAGUGGGUACGGGCAGGCUGGAGUGCAGUAGGGGAGACUGGAAUUCCUGGUGUAGCGGUGAAAUGCGCAGAUAUCAGGAGGAACACCGAUGGCGAAGGCAGGUCUCUGGGCUGUAACUGACGCUGAGGAGCGAAAGCAUGGGGAGCGAACAGGAUUAGAUACCCUGGUAGUCCAUGCCGUAAACGUUGGGCACUAGGUGUGGGGGCCAUUCCACGGUUUCCGCGCCGCAGCUAACGCAUUAAGUGCCCCGCCUGGGGAGUACGGCCGCAAGGCUAAAACUCAAAGGAAUUGACGGGGGCCCGCACAAGCGGCGGAGCAUGCGGAUUAAUUCGAUGCAACGCGAAGAACCUUACCAAGGCUUGACAUGUGCCGGACCGUCCCAGAGAUGGGGCUUCCCUUCGGGGCCGGUUCACAGGUGGUGCAUGGUUGUCGUCAGCUCGUGUCGUGAGAUGUUGGGUUAAGUCCCGCAACGAGCGCAACCCUCGUUCCAUGUUGCCAGCACUUCGGGUGGGGACUCAUGGGAGACUGCCGGGGUCAACUCGGAGGAAGGUGGGGACGACGUCAAAUCAUCAUGCCCCUUAUGUCUUGGGCUUCACGCAUGCUACAAUGGCCGGUACAAAGGGUUGCGAUACUGUGAGGUGGAGCCAAUCCCAGAAAGCCGGUCUCAGUUCGGAUUGGGGUCUGCAACUCGACCCCAUGAAGUCGGAGUCGCUAGUAAUCGCAGAUCAGCAACGCUGCGGUGAAUACGUUCCCGGGCCUUGUACACACCGCCCGUCAAGUCACGAAAGUCGGUAACACCCGAAGCCGGUGGCCCAACC